rnacentral:tRNA from 2 species
GUCUCGGUAGUGUAGUGGUUAGCAUGCGACCCUGUCACGGUUGCGACUCGGGUUCGAAUCCCGACCGAGGCG